rnacentral:rRNA from 1 species
AUUGAACGCUGGCGGCAGGCCUAACACAUGCAAGUCGAACGGUAACAGGAAGAAGCUUGCUUCUUUGCUGACGAGUGGCGGACGGGUGAGUAAUGUCUGGGAAACUGCCUGAUGGAGGGGGAUAACUACUGGAAACUGUAGCUAAUACCGCAUAACGUCGCAAGACCAAAGAGGGGGACCUUCGGGCCUCUUGCCAUCGGAUGUGCCCAGAUGGGAUUAGCUAGUAGGUGGGGUAACGGCUCACCUAGGCGACGAUCCCUAGCUGGUCUGAGAGGAUGACCAGCCACACUGGAACUGAGACACGGUCCAGACUCCUACGGGAGGCAGCAGUGGGGAAUAUUGCACAAUGGGCGCAAGCCUGAUGCAGCCAUGCCGCGUGUAUGAAGAAGGCCUUCGGGUUGUAAAGUACUUUCAGCGGGGAGGAAGGGAGUAAAGUUAAUACCUUUACUCAUUGACGUUACCCGCAGAAGAAGCACCGGCUAACUCCGUG